GUUGAGUUGAAUUGAGUUGAGUUGGUGUUCUAAAUUCAAUUUCAGAAAUCUGCUUCAGUUGAGAAUCAUUGUAUUUUUGCAACUUCAGGUGUAUCUCCUUCCUUAUCCUCUUUACAAUUAUUUUGGAAACCUAAGGAGUUACCACCAUUUCGGACUCUCAAUCAUGCAAUUCUUUUACUGCCUGGUUCUCAACCAGUAAAUGUGAGACCAAAUAGGUAUCCACACUAUCAAAAGACAGAUAGAAAGGCUAGUCAUUGAGAUGCUUGAUUCCUCUACAGCGUUGUGAAAGGUGCUCGAGGCGCCCUGGAGAGGCGAGGCGAGGCGAGGCGA
rnacentral:misc_RNA from 1 species